UGGUUCAGAGAUGGGCUUUAAAAGCUCGUACUUAACAACACCUGCUCCAGUUCGAUUCUUUAGAGAAACAUUCACGUUCCUCUCAUCUAUCACUCCUUCUAGGUAUUGGAGCUUGCCUUUGAAUCGUUCAUAUGCAGCAUAGAUGACAGGUUCGUGGGCCCAAGACGCUUCUGCGUUUUCUCCUAGGUAUUCUUCAUCAGGUGAAUGUGCUGAUAGAAGAUCCAAAGUCACCAUCACUAUGGUCGCCUGCUUCUUCGACGGGAAUGUCUUAAGCAUGGUCUUCUCUGGAUCCUCAUAGAACUCUUUUAGCUCUUCAUCUGUCGGCUCUUCCACUGGCAUUUUUAUCCUUGAUGUGGUUGGUCGGUUGGGAAAGUAUCCACCAUACCCGUACUGUCCAAAGUUUACAGCUGCAUGGUGACCUGAAGCCACCCAUGCAAUCGUGGUCACCACUUCAAUCAAGUCUUCUUGUGUUUUGAGGACAGGCCACCAUGGUUCAUUUUUCUUGUCUCCAUGCCCUAUGUUCUUCACUUCAUUCCACCAUUCUUUGAGUUCCUCAUCCGACCUGACCUGUUCCGCAUCUGGAUAAUAGUGCUUCACAUAGUCUGUUACCCAUUCCUUAAGUGCAUCCCACAGCAUUAGACCGUCAUUCGCAAAUGGGUAAUCUGGUAUCGUCAGGCGUACCCCAUGUUCCGCUGUCUCGUCUUCCACAGCCAGCCCCCUUUGAUAUCACAAUUUUUUUAUGUAAAAUAUUUGCUAGCAUAAUUAUUAUAAAUCAGUGUCCAAGAACUCGUUAGAUGCACGUUAGGCGUUUUAUAUUAGGUUAUUACUAGGAAGGUGCCUAAACCUAUUUUGAACGCUUAAAUCAAUCUUACUUAUUUUAAAAGUAGGUAUAGAAGAAUUGAUUAAUUUAGAUCCAAUUUGCCGAUUAGGCAAGCGGACCGUCUAAGCCGAUUUUUAGAACACUUAAAUUAAUACUUACAAAGAAAUAAGUAUAAUCUUAGUAAUUACGUACCUGCUGAUGAGGUCUGCAGGUAAGCCUUCCCUGUCAAACCUCCAUAGUUUAUCAUAGACAUCUGAACUCAGCUCUAAUGAAUAUUUUCCGGGCCAGAAACACGACUCAAUGAUUCCACCUGCGUUGACGAGACUUUGGCGUGCACGAGCAUUGAUCUCCAUUGUGUAGCGGAAAUGGGGAUGCAAAAGCCUAUAAAUAGGAUGCAUGGCACUUAGUUGUCUGUUUGCCGCUAUAAUAUAUGGCUCCAUACAGCAAUGAGUCCUCAGCCUGUAAAAUUAAUGUCUAUACAGUUAAACCUAAAUACUGUUGUCAACAAAAUAACCAUUUGUAGGAUCUAGUUUGUCCAAUACCAGUGGGAAAUAAGCUGGUGAUAACCAGCGUCAUGAGAAAUAGCGUGAGUCUUAGCAAGACUCCAUAGCCAGCAGGAGGUAGCAUCAUAGCCUGGCGUGAAUACCUGCCUCCAUUGGGGCUUGUUUACAUCUUGGGGACGAGUCAACUCAAUGGCAACAGGUCUCAGUGUGCUAUCAUCGCUGAGGAAGAAUAGCGCUCGAGAAGCAUAUAAGGUGCUAUCAUCCAACUCUCUCACUUUGUUCACAUACGGCAGAAGCAAAUCAUGAUAGUCCAACAUGAACAAUCUCUUGUUCUCCAGAGCCUGCAUGCACACAUCCAUUGAUAUUUAUUCAUUAUGGAAAUACUCCAUAUGGAUGGAUGGAUAUAUGUUUUUUUUCUUCUUAAAACCUGUUAGAUAUUUAUUAAUUUUUUUACCUCAUCAAAUGACAUUACUAUUUGAAUUUUUUGGGUAUUUGUUUGGAGUUUCAAGUACUUUUCGUGUUUUGGAUAUUGUUCAGAUUUUUUAGAUAUUUCGAACUUUUUUAGGAUCCUAAAUACCCGAACAGAUGUGGACCCAUUACGUCCAUAUCAGGUCCAACAACCUUUUGAUAUAGAUUUUUAACGUUAUUGUACAAAAACAUGGUUGAUGAAAUAUUUUUCUGAGAAAAGAUAUCAUAAGGAAUAAUAUUAGGAUCUGUUAAAAAUAUUUAAAAUAUUGUAUGGUUAGAAUGAUUAAUGGUAUUACCAAAAAAAUAAUAAAUAGUUAUACAUGACUCCAACAACUUUUUUAUAUUAAAUUUUUUAAGACUUCUUCCUUUUUAAUAGUAUUGAUUCGUUUUUAAACGAAAAGUAUAUUAAAGUAUAAUAUCUAAACCAAUAAUUUUCAAAAUCGUGAAUAAUCAAUACUAAUAUCGUGAAGUCGGUUUAGCUUUAACAGAACCAAUGAAUUUCUACAUUUUUGUGAAGGAAUAUUCAGAAAACUCAUUUUUAAAUAUGAAAAUAUCUAUCAAACUAUAGACGGUUGAAAGUUUAGUAUAUGAUAUGAUAUUUUAGUGGAAAAAUUUAUAUAUGAUAUGAUUACUUUAUUAUAAAGGAAAGAGGAAGUUAGAAUGUACACAUAUAUGUCGUGUAACUUCUCUUGCUUUAAAUCAUAUAUUAUAUGAUAAAAGUGAUGAUAUAAAAUAUUAGUUUCAAUGCUUUACUAUUAAAAAUCAAAAUGGUAAUGAUUAGGAUUUAGGAGUGAUAUUUGAAUAAAUAAAGGAAUUGAAUCAAUUAUUGUUAGAGAAAUAUAUGGUAACAUAUUGUUAAUCUAAGUUUAAGGUAAGACCAAAAAAUAAUGAGUUAAAUGGAAGGGUCCAAACAACUUUCAUAGGUAGAUUUUUUAAGACUCAUUCCCUUUUAAUAGUAUUGAUUUUAGUUAGACUGAAUAAAUUUAUAAAAAAUAAUUAUAUAAUUUAUUAUUUAAUUGAUUACAAAUUAAUAUUAUAAAUAUUAUCUCAAAAAUAAAUGGAAUACAUAUUCGAAAAAAAGAAAGAUAAUUCCAUAUAUUUAUUUUGUGUUUAUCUACAUCUUUUAUUUUUAUUUGUUAAUUUUAUAAUUAGGUGGUAUAUAUACACAUAUAAUAAUUUUAUUUAUCAAUAUACUAAAAUAAUAAAAAUAUUUUAUGAAAAAUAAAAAAAUGAUUAAUAUUUGUUUGUAAAGGUAAUAUAUCAUGGAAUAUUUUUAAACAAUAUUAAAUUUAUUUUAAUAUUAAAAUAGGUAUGUAACCAAUAAUAAUAAAUUUGAUUCAUAUUUGUUUGUUAAAAUAAUGUUUUUUGGUAUUUUCAUUUUUAUUCUUAUUAUUCAGUUGCAAGAAUAACAUUUAUUUGUUAUCUAAGUUUAAAAAAUUAAUAUUAUUUGUUUUUGUUUUUAUAAAUAUUUUUUAUUGCGCAUGAAAUUAUUUUAAAAAUAUUUUCAAAAUAUCUGCUUCUAAAAGAGAAUAUUUUAAAAAUAUUAUUUUUAUUUACAAAAAGUAUCUUUUAUUUAUAUUUGUUUUAAAUUAAAUCUAUUUGCUUUUAAUUUUUUCAAGAGUUUUAGAGAAUUAUAAUUUAUUUAGAUUAAAAUUUCUUUAAAAGACUAUAAAGUAAAGAAAAUGUGAUUUUAUAUUAUCAAAACUGUAUUUUCCAAAAUGGUAUGUCUUAGUUAUAACUAUUAAAGUUUUAAAGUUAAAAGACCAUUUGAAAAUAACAAUUAUGAUUUUAUAAUAAAUAAAUACUAUUUUAUAAGAAAAUAGAAAUAUCUAUUUUAAAGUAAAAAAUAUAGAUUGACUGUAGCUUAUUUUUCUCUAUUAUACUAUUUAGAAAUGAAAAUAACAAUAAAUAGGAAAUGUUCUUCUUUUAUACAUUGCUUAUUAAUGUUUUGUUUGACAACAUGGUUGGUAUGUUUGAAUGUUUAUUUAGUUAUUAUGAGAGGUAUUUUAUUAUAUAAUUAUACAUAUAUCAAUAUUUUUAUUUACUUUUAUUAAUAUAAUAUUUGAUUAAUAUAAUAUGUAAAUUUGGGUUCGGUUUAACAUUCUUGUACUUUUGAUUUAUUUUGAAAUUUUGUAGGUUUUAAUAAUUCCAAGAAUUUGGUUUAAUAACAUCACUUUAUAUUAACAGUUAUAUAUAUAUAUAUAUAUAUAUAUGUCUAUUUAAUUAGAUCAUUGUGUAUAAUAUAAUAUAAUAAUAACUGGUUAAAGAUAAUAACAUAUUUUAAAAUAAAAUAUCAAUGUUGUUAUCCAAAACUAAUGUUUGUAAAUUAAUAAAAUUAAAAAUUAAAAAAAUUGAAAGAUUCACAAAAUAGUAGAUUUAUUAUUUUUAAAUUGAAAGAUUGACAAAAUAUUCUAAAUUUAAUGUUUUAUUUAAAAUUUUUGAUCUUUAAACUUGUAGUCAUUUAUUAUUAAUUAUCUAUAAAAGAAUUAUGUAUCCAUGUGCGUGCAAAACACAUAGUUUCAUUAAUAAAGUUUCAGUAUUUCUUUAUGUUUGUUUGAAAAUUGAUUCCCUUUUUUUUUAGAAUUUUCAACAAUUUUCUAAAAGUUUUCAGGUUGUUUUAAUAGGCCUUACUUUACUAGACUUGAAUACAAUCUUCAAUAGGUCAGGCCAACUUGGUGUACUCGUUUCCCUAGGUCCAACAAUAUUUGGUCCAAGAAACAUAAAACAAGGUACCCUUGAGCAGGUUGAGAUUCAUUAUUUAUUAAGAAAGCAAGAAACAUAGAUGAUAAUUUGGAAGAAACAUAGAUGAUAACUUCCAAUGCAUUUGAUCAAAAUGCGUUAGAUCAAAUAGACACACUGUAGGGAACACCCAUCCCAGUAACGCCUGGUUCAGAGAUGGGCUUUAAAAGCUCGUACUUAACAACACCUGCUCCAGUUCGAUUCUUUAGAGAAACAUUCACGUUCCUCUCAUCUAUCACUCCUUCUAGGUAUUGGAGCUUGCCUUUGAAUCGUUCAUAUGCAGCAUAGAUGAUAGGUUCGUGGGCCCAAGAUGCUUCUGGGUUUUCUCCUAGGUACUCUUCAUCUGGUGAAUGUGCAGAUAGAAGAUCCAAAGUCAACAUCACUUUGGUCGCCUGCUUCUUCGACGGGAAUGUCUUAAGC
rnacentral:lncRNA from 1 species